GUUGAAGACAGCCUGGUUAGAGAGGAAGAAGGCGGCUCUAGUUGGUGUUUUCUGCUGCAGUAAAACACAGUCAGGUCAGAUCGCUGAGAGGAAGAAUGGAGGGAACAUCUCCACUCCGUCUGAUCUUUCUGACCUUCCUGCUCUGCUGCUCAACAGAUCAAGUCCUUCCAGCAGCUCGUCUGAUUGUGAGUCCCAGCAGAUCUCAGUUCUUUGAAGGAGACUAUGUGUCUCUGAGCUGUGAGGAGAACUGCAGCUCUGCUGGAUGGACUGUAUGGAGGAACACAACCAGACGAAACAGGACUCAGUGUGGAGAUGGAU